ACUAGUGAUUUCCGUAGGUGAACCUGCGGAAGGAUCAUUCGCACAUGAUUGAACACAAUUCCAUCGAUUUUUUUUGUAUGGUUUGCUUGGGGAUGCUCAGUCGGGUGCCUCUUGCUGACUCUAAUGGGCGUUGGGUGGGACAUGAUGCAUUGCAAACUUGUCCGCUCCCAUCGUUGACUUCUUGCAUACAAGUUUAUGCCGCAUCUUUUUGAUAUAUGUAUCUGGGAGUUUACAAUUUUCAGCGACGAAUGUCUCGGUUCGAGCAACGAUGAAGGGUGCAGCGAAGUGCGAUAAGCAUUGUGAAUUGCAGAUUUCCGUGAGCCGAUAGGGACUUGAACACAUAUUGUGCUUUUGGGAUAUCCCUAAAAACAUAUGUGCUUCAGUGCCUCUUCAUAUUGAUCCUAAACAUUUUGCUUUAUAGUUAAACUGAUUUUAUGGUUUGCUGCUCCUCACAUUCUGUUGGCAUUCGUGUGGAUGUAUGUUUGAGGGUCUGUGAUUGACAAGACCGCUGUGUGUCGAUCAGCUUGGAAAUAUUUUUUUAUGAAUGAAGCUGAUUGUGCUCGCGGCAUCGUGAGUCUUGCUGUCGCGAUUGUGUUGCAACACGAAUUAUGUCAUGAAGUUAGAUUUGCAAACUCGCUGAAUUUAAGCAUAUCAA
rnacentral:rRNA from 1 species